UUUUAUGAGAGUUUGAUCCUGGCUCAGGACGAACGCUGGCGGCGUGCCUAAUACAUGCAAGUCGUACGCUUCUUUUUCCACCGGAGCUUGCUCCACCGGAAAAAGAAGAGUGGCGAACGGGUGAGUAACACGUGGGUAACCUGCCCAUCAGAAGGGGAUAACACUUGGAAACAGGUGCUAAUACCGUAUAACAAUCGAAACCGCAUGGUUUUGAUUUGAAAGGCGCUUUCGGGUGUCGCUGAUGGAUGGACCCGCGGUGCAUUAGCUAGUUGGUGAGGUAACGGCUCACCAAGGCCACGAUGCAUAGCCGACCUGAGAGGGUGAUCGGCCACAUUGGGACUGAGACACGGCCCAAACUCCUACGGGAGGCAGCAGUAGGGAAUCUUCGGCAAUGGACGAAAGUCUGACCGAGCAACGCCGCGUGAGUGAAGAAGGUUUUCGGAUCGUAAAACUCUGUUGUUAGAGAAGAACAAGGAUGAGAGUAACUGUUCAUCCCUUGACGGUAUCUAACCAGAAAGCCACGGCUAACUACGUGCCAGCAGCCGCGGUAAUACGUAGGUGGCAAGCGUUGUCCGGAUUUAUUGGGCGUAAAGCGAGCGCAGGCGGUUUCUUAAGUCUGAUGUGAAAGCCCCCGGCUCAACCGGGGAGGGUCAUUGGAAACUGGGAGACUUGAGUGCAGAAGAGGAGAGUGGAAUUCCAUGUGUAGCGGUGAAAUGCGUAGAUAUAUGGAGGAACACCAGUGGCGAAGGCGGCUCUCUGGUCUGUAACUGACGCUGAGGCUCGAAAGCGUGGGGAGCAAACAGGAUUAGAUACCCUGGUAGUCCACGCCGUAAACGAUGAGUGCUAAGUGUUGGAGGGUUUCCGCCCUUCAGUGCUGCAGCUAACGCAUUAAGCACUCCGCCUGGGGAGUACGACCGCAAGGUUGAAACUCAAAGGAAUUGACGGGGGCCCGCACAAGCGGUGGAGCAUGUGGUUUAAUUCGAAGCAACGCGAAGAACCUUACCAGGUCUUGACAUCCUUUGACCACUCUAGAGAUAGAGCUUCCCCUUCGGGGGCAAAGUGACAGGUGGUGCAUGGUUGUCGUCAGCUCGUGUCGUGAGAUGUUGGGUUAAGUCCCGCAACGAGCGCAACCCUUAUUGUUAGUUGCCAUCAUU
rnacentral:rRNA from 2 species